rnacentral:tRNA from 1 species
AGGCGAGUAGCGCAGCGUGGUAGCGCAACUGGUUUGGGACCAGUGGGUCGGAGGUUCGAAUCCUCUCUCGCCGACCA